UACGGAGGGAGCUAGCGUUAUUCGGAAUUACUGGGCGUAAAGCGCACGUAGGCGGCUUUGUAAGUUAGAGGUGAAAGCCUGGGGCUCAACUCCAGAAUUGCCUUUAAGACUGCAUCGCUUGAAUCCAGGAGAGGUGAGUGGAAUUCCGAGUGUAGAGGUGAAAUUCGUAGAUAUUCGGAAGAACACCAGUGGCGAAGGCGGCUCACUGGACUGGUAUUGACGCUGAGGUGCGAAAGCGUGGGGGAGCAAACAGG
rnacentral:rRNA from 1 species